rnacentral:tRNA from 1 species
AUCAAGGUAAGCUAAAAAUUAAGCUGUUGGGCUCAUAACCCAAAAAUAGGAAACCUCCUUGAUACC